rnacentral:rRNA from 1 species
AACGAACGCUGGCGGCAGGCCUAACACAUGCAAGUCGAGCGCGCCCUUCGGGGUGAGCGGCGGACGGGUGAGUAACGCGUGGGAACGUGCCCUUUUCUACGGAAUAGCCUCGGGAAACUGAGAGUAAUACCGUAUACGCCCUUUGGGGGAAAGAUUUAUCGGAAAAGGAUCGGCCCGCGUUGGAUUAGGUAGUAGGUGGGGUAAUGGCCUACCAAGCCGACGAUCCAUAGCUGGUUUGAGAGGAUGAUCAGCCACACUGGGACUGAGACACGGCCCAGACUCCUACGGGAGGCAGCAGUGGGGAAUCUUAGACAAUGGGGGCAACCCUGAUCUAGCCAUGCCGCGUGAGUGAUGAAGGCCUUAGGGUUGUAAAGCUCUUUCAGCUGGGAAGAUAAUGACGGUACCAGCAGAAGAAGCCCCGGCUAACUCCGUG